rnacentral:rRNA from 1 species
AACGAACGCUAGCGGCGCGUCUUAAGCAUGCAAGUCGGACGGUAACCGGUAUUUAUAUCGGCUAGAGUGGCGAACGGGUGAGUAACGCGUGGAUGAUCUACCUAUGAGUUGGGGAUAGCCAUCAGAAAUGGUGGGUAAUACCGAAUAAGCUCUAUGACUGUGGUUGUAGAGGAAAGGCGCUUUUGUGCCGCUGAUAGAUGAGUCUGCGUACUAUUAGCUAGAUGGUGGGGUAAAGGCUCACCAAGGCGACGAUAGUUAGCCGGCCUGAGAGGGUGUAAGGCCACAUUGGGACUGAGAUACGGCCCAGACUCCUACGGGAGGCAGCAGCGAAGAAUCUUGCACAAGGGACGAAAGUCUGAUGGAGCGACGCCGCGUGAAUGAAGAAGGCCGAGAGGUUGUAAAAUUCUUUUAUGGAUGAGGAAUAAUCUGGAGAGUGGAACGUUCUAGAGAUGACGUUAAUCCAUGAAUAAGCUCCGGCUAAUUCCGUGCCAGCCGCCGCAGUAA